rnacentral:rRNA from 1 species
AACGAACGCUGGCGGCAGGCUUAACACAUGCAAGUCGAGCGCCCCGCAAGGGGAGCGGCAGACGGGUGAGUAACGCGUGGGAAUCUACCCAUCUCUACGGAAUAACGCAUGGAAACGUGUGCUAAUACCGUAUACGUCCUUCGGGAGAAAGAUUUAUCGGAGAUGGAUGAGCCCGCGUUGGAUUAGCUAGUUGGGGGGGGAAAGGCCUACCAAGGCGACGAUCCAUAGCUGGUCUGAGGGGAUGAUCAGCCACACUGGGCCUGAGACACGGCCCAGGCUCCUACGGGAGGCAGCAGUGGGGAAUAUUGGACAAGCGGCGCAAGCCUGGUCCAGCCAUGCCGCGUGAGUGAUGAAGGCCCUAGGGUUGUAAAGCUCUUUCACCGGUGAAGAUAAUGACGGUAACCGGAGAAGAAGCCCCGGCUAACUUCGUGCCAGCCGCCGCGGUAAGAC